AUGGCUGCCGGCGGCGGGGUGCGGUCCAUCAUGAGCGAGGACGGCGACGAGCCGGCGCGUCGCCGCCUGCGAUCUGCCCCUGCCGGCGCGCCACCGAGCGGCGGCGACAUCCUGUGGGAGAUCUUCCUCCGGCUGCCCGCGCUACCCUCCACCCUCCCGCGCGUCUCCCUCGUCUGCAACCGCUGGCGCCGCCUGGCCGCCGACUCCGGCUUCCUCCUCCGCUUCCGCAGCCGCCACCAGAAGGCCCCGCUCCUCGGGCUCUUCAAGGAGUACGGAGGGUGGGUCUCCUUCACCCCCGUCCUCGCCCGCCCCGACCGCGUGCCCCGCCAGCGCCUCUCCAUGCGGAUCGACUACGGCGGCGCCGCCGACUCCUACCCCUACCACGGCACGCUCCUCGGGUGCCGCCACGGGCGCGUCCUCGUCGUCGACCACCGGCGGCGCGAGGCCCUCGUGUGCGACCCCGUCACCGGCGACCAGCGCCGCGGCGCCCUCCCGCCGGAGUUCGGCUCGGGCAACAUGGCCCACGGGGCGGUGCUCUGCGCCGAUGGCGACCCCGGGCACGUGCACGUGGGAUGCCACUCCAGCCCCUUCAAGGUGGUCCUGGUGCAGACCUUCUCCAGAGGGAAUUAUGAUUCCCGAGCCCGCGCCCGUGUCUACUCGUCGGAGACCAGCAUGUGGGGCAACCUGAUCUCGGCGCCGGAACGAUUGGAAGGCGGUUACGUCGAUUUCAGCCGCCCCUCAACCCUCGCCGGCAACUCCCUUUACUGGUGGAUCCAUGGAUCUUAUGACAUGGAGUUACUUGAGUUUGAUAUUGGUAGGCAGAGCCUAGCCGUGAUCCAAAAACUUCCUGUUAGAGAUAUCCAGAAAUCGAAAAGUUUCAUCCACAUCAUCCGGGCAGAGGAUGGCGGUGUUGGCUUCGCCAUGUUGUCGUAUCCAAGCCUCCAAAUGUGGGACCUGAAGGCUGAUGGGGAUGGUGCCGCCACAUGGUUUCCGCGGAAUACCGUGAAUCUCGAGCUCGUCCUGAAUAUGAGGGCUGCCGAAACAGCUAUAGUCGGGUAUGUGGAGGACGACGACGCAAUUCUUAUAAAGUUGAACAACGACGUCUUCAUGGUUCAACUUGAGUCAGUUGAGUCAAGGAAACUUUGUGAAAGCAUUGUGAGGCACCAAUAUCAUCCUUUCACAAGUUUGUAUUCUUCAGGGGAGUUUGGUCGCUGCAGAGGUCUGGAUAGCAUGCCGAGCCCAGCAGAUCCGGCCAUCCCGACGAGCAUAGCAGCUCCACCUGUCAUGAAGGCACCAGAGCAACGGGCUUGGACAUUCCAGCAUGUACCAAGGAAGCGUAGGAGUUGA
rnacentral:rRNA from 1 species